CCCGCCCUCCUCCACGUCGACCCCUGGAUCUGACGACCGAGCCGCCACACGAGUCAAACAGAAACCGAUGAAAAGGAUUCCUGGGCUAGUGCUCAUCAGUCUUGGGUGACUAGUUUUGCGCACGUAGGAGUGCAGCUCGACCAACGGGACGUGCAAUUUGGCCCAUGGCGUCGACGGUUUUCCGGUGAACUCGCGUGUGCACGGGAAGUUCCCAUGGACUAUGCACACGUGGUCGUUUUUAUGAGGGGUUCACUGUGUAUGUUGGAGAGGUUCGCUCCUCCAUGGGGGUCAUCUUUUUAGGUAGUUCGCUUCCUGAAUUGUUUUAACACUCUUUUGUUUUUGUUUAAAUCCCGUCUAGUGCAGUUCGUUUGUCAUGUUGGAUAUGUUCAUUUUCAUCAAAAAAUAAAAGGUUGAUGCAGCCCACUUCGAGGAGUCUUGUGGUUCACCGCAUUCAAUAAGGA